rnacentral:pre_miRNA from 10 species
UGCGCCCUGCAUGUCUCCCAGCCCAAGGUGCAGUGCUGCAUCUCUGGUCAAUUGGGAGUCUGAGAUGAAGCACUGUAGCUCGGGAAGGGAGGAACUCUGCGCCGGG